rnacentral:rRNA from 1 species
GGUUUAAUUCGAAGCAACGCGAAGAACCUUACCAGGCCUUGACAUGCAGAGAACGUUUCCAGAGAUGGAUUGGCGCCUUCGGGAACUCUGACACAGGUGCUGCAUGGCUGUCGUCAGCUCGUGUCGUGAGAUGUUGGGUUAAGUCCCGUAACGAGCGCAACCCUUGCCUUAGUUACCAGCACGUUAUGGUGGGCACUCUAAGGAGACUGCCGGUGACAAACCGGAGGAAGUGGGGAUGACGUCAAGUCCUCAUGGCCUUUAUGACCAGGGCUACACACGUACUACAAUGGCCGAUACAAAGGGCAGCGACACUGCGAGGUGAAGCCAAUCCCGUAAAAUCGGUCUCAGUCCGGAUUGGAGUCUGCAACUCGACUCCAUGAAGUUGGAAUCGCUAGUAAUCGUGGAUCAGCAUGCCACGGUGAAUACGUUCCCGGGCCUU